CGCGCAGCUCGGGUGGCCCCGCCCAUCAGGCCCGGAGGCGGGGCCUACAGGCGGCACUGCUGCCCCCUGCAGCGGCGGCGGCGGCCACAGUGAUGAUCACAGUGCCUCUUCAGAAGAAAAAGAUUGCCCUAGCCCCAACCUAGAUACUUCAAAGGACUCUAAAUCAGG